AAAAGCUCAAAUUUGAAAUCUGGCUUCGGCCCGAGUUGUAAUUUGUAGAGGAUGUUUCGGGCAAGAUCCGGGCUUAAGUUCCUUGGAACAGGACGUCAUAGAGGGUGAGAAUCCCGUACGUGGUCCAGGGUCGCGCCCAUGUGAAACUCCUUCGACGAGUCGAGUUGUUUGGGAAUGCAGCUCAAAAUGGGUGGUAAAUUUCAUCUAAAGCUAAAUAUUGGCCAGAGACCGAUAGCGCACAAGUAGAGUGAUCGAAAGAUGAAAAGCACUUUGAAAAGAGAGUUAAACAGCAUGUGAAAUUGUUGAAAGGGAAGCGCUUGCAACCAGACUUGUUUGUAGGGUUCAGCCGUCGUUCUCGUCGGUGUAUUUCCCUAUCUACAGGCCAGCAUCAGUUCGGACGGAAGGUCAAAGGCCUUGGGAAUGUAGCAUCCUCCGGGAUGUCUUAUAGCCCUCGGUGUAAUGCUUCCAGCCCGGACUGAGGAACGCGCUUCGGCUCGGAUGCUGGCGUAAUGGUUUUAAGCGACCCGUCUUGAAACACGGACCAAGGAGUCUAACAUCUAUGCGAGUAUUUGGGUGUCAAACCCAUAUGCGAAAUGAAAGUGAACGGAGGUGGGAAUCUUCGGAUGCACCAUCGACCGAUCCUGAUGUCUUCGGAUGGAUUUGAGUAAGAGCAUAGCUGUUGGGACCCGAAAGAUGGUGAACUAUGCCUGAAUAGGGUGAAGCCAGAGGAAACUCUGGUGGAGGCUCGCAGCGGUUCUGACGUGCAAAUCGAUCGUCAAAUUU
rnacentral:rRNA from 1 species